rnacentral:rRNA from 1 species
AUUAUAGGUUGAUUCUACCUAUUAUUUAAUUAGUUAAUAAAUAAUAUUAUAUGCAAGUUUUUGUGUGGAAGGGAAUUUAUCUUAAUGAUAAAUAUUUUUAUUAAUUGCAGUUUUUUAUAUUAUUAAUUUUAGAAAUAAAGAAAUAGUUAUUAUAAUUGAGAAUUGUUUAAAAUUGUGCCAGCAAACGCGGUUAGACAAUUAAUUCAAAUUAAUUUUGUUGGUUUACAUUAAUUUAUUUUUUUUUGAAAUAUAAAUUAUUUUAUUGGGUGAAAUUUUAAAAUAAUUUAAUUUUUUGGUUAAAGAUUAUGUGAAAUUUGAUUUUUAAACUAGGAUUAGAUACCCUAUUAUUUUAAAUGUAAAAAUUUAACCAUGGUAUUAAUAGUUAUGAUCUUUAAAUUAAAAGAAUUUGGCGGUAAUUUAGUCCUUUCAGAGGAAUCUGUCCUUUAAUCGAUAAUCCACGUUGGAUUUUACUUUAAUUAUG